rnacentral:rRNA from 1 species
GACGUAGGGUCCAAGCGUUGUCCGGAUUUACUGGGCGUAAAGAGCGCGUAGGCGGCUCGUUAAGUGUAGAGUGAAAUCUCUGGGCUCACCCCAGAAACUGCUCUGCAUACUGGCGAGCUGGAGGGAUGGAGAGGCUUGUGGAAUUCCUGGUGUAGCGGUGAAAUGCGUAGAUAUCAAGAGGAACACCUGAGGUGAAGACGGGUUGCUGGGCUGAUACUGACGCUGAGGCGCGAAAGCUAGGGUAGCAAACGGG